GACGAACGCUGGCGGCGUGCUUAACACAUGCAAGUCGAACGGAAAGGCCCUGCUUUUGUGGGGUGCUCGAGUGGCGAACGGGUGAGUAACACGUGAGUAACCUGCCCUUGACUUUGGGAUAACUUCAGGAAACUGGGGCUAAUAUCGGAUAGGAGCUCAUGCUGCAUGGAGGGGGGUGGAAAGUUUCGGCGGUUGGGGAUGGACUCGCGGCUUAUCAGCUUGUUGGUGGGGUAGUGGCUUACCAAGGCUUUGACGGGUAGCCGGCCUGUGAGGGUGACCGGCCACAUUGGGACUGAGAUACGGCCCAGACUCCUACGGGAGGCAGCAGUGGGGAAUAUUGCACAAUGGGCGGAAGCCUGAUGCAGCAACGCCGCGUGCGGGAUGACGGCCUUCGGGUUGUAAACCGCUUUCGCCUGUGACGACGCGUGAGUGACGGUAAUGGGUAAAGAAGCACCGGCUAACUACGUG
rnacentral:rRNA from 1 species